rnacentral:lncRNA from 1 species
CCCUGCCACUGACCCCUCCCCAGGGCCUCUCCUGACUCUAGGCUGAUGAAUCAGCCUUGCUGAGCUCCGGGGUGGUGAGAUCACCCUGACCCGUGCAGUAGCUGGUUGGAAUGGGUCUGUCACUGCCUCCCAAGAAAAGGAACAGACAGGGUCUUAGUCAUCUGGAACAGGGGUUUUGGAGUCAGAUCAACCAAGGCUCCAAUCUGGCCUCUCCCAUUCCCUGGCUGUGUGAUCUUGUGCCUCCCUAAGUCUCAGGGUCUCCAUUUCUUGAAAAUGAGGAUAUUCCUGCUUUACAAAGUGGCUGAGAGGAUGAAGAUGCAAACUCACCAUGGUAGGAGGCAAGGACCUGCACAACCACAGCUGUGUGACCACAGGCCAGACGACUCACCCUUUGAACCCUGGCUCCCCUGCUGCCCUGUGAGGGGGAUAAUAACCUUGGCUGGGCCAUGGCCCAGGCUGUGGGCACUCAGGUACUGGGUAUUGAACUCAGGACCCUGUGCUUGCAAGGCAGGCUAGGUGCCACUGAGCUAAAUCCCCGGCCCAUCAACAUCACCAUCAAUAGAAGCUGAAGAUCCACCCGUGUGAUGUGCAGGCCCCAUUUCCAGGACUCUGUCCUUUGGGAGUGCUGUCCCAGGGCCCCUGAGAUACACACACAGAUAUGUUUAUGGUUCAUGAGCUACAGAGCAUGGGAAACCACCCAAGUGUUCCUUAGUAAGGGGCCGGGCAGUCAAGUUUCAGCACAGCUGGACAACAGCAAACCCACACAGCUGUGAGAAAGCAUGUCCUGGGAAGCCAGGUGCAGUAGCACAUGCCUAUAGUCCUACUUACUUGGCAGGCUCAGGCAAGAGGCUCAGGCUCAGGCUCAGCCAACGUCAUUCUGGGCAAUGCAGGAAGACUACAGCUCUUAAAAGAAAUAGCAGAAAUGCGUCCCAAAAAGAAGUGAAAAAAAGCUGUAAUCCAAAUAUUCUGAGAGGCAGAGGAAGGAGGAUCACAAGUUUGAGCCCAUCCUGAGCAACUUAGCAAGACCCUGUCUCACAAUAAAAAAUUAAAAGGGCUGGGGUUGUAGCUCAGUGUGAAGGCCCUGGGUUCAAUCCCCAGUACUGCCCAAAACAGCAAGCUGUGGUAUAUAGGAUCCCAUUUUUGUAAAACUUACACAUAUAUGUACAGAUAAUUGUGUAUCUAAACACAUAUAUAAGCAUAGAAUUUUGUUUUGUUUUUUGAGACAGGGUCUUGUUAUAUAGUUCAGGUUGGCCUUGAACUGUGAGCCCAGGCUGGCCUCGAAUUUGUGGCAAUCCUCCUGCCUCAGCCUCCAGAGUGCUGGGAUUACAGGCAUGUGCCACCAUGCCCAGCUACACAUAGCAUUUAUUUAUUUAUUUAUUUAUUUUGGUACUGAGGAUCAAACUCAGGCCCUUGCGCUUGCAAGGCGGGCAGCGAAACCACUGAGCUAAAUCCCCAGCCCAUACACAUAGCAUUUUAAACAUCAGGAGAAAAGGGUAUGGGUCCAAAUGGUCUCAGAGGGCAAUCCUGGCAGUAAGACUGGGGGCUACAGCACAUUCUAUUUUUACAAGUAAUUAUGGUUCGAAUUUAUAACGACUAGUACAUGUAACUUUUUCAGAUAACAGCUGAAUUGAGAUAUAGUUCACAUACCAUAAUAUUCAGCCUUUUAAAAUGUAUGGUUCCUGGUUGCAAGACUCACAAAGGUCAUUCUUUUCAGCCCACUGCCUAAAACACAUAGACUUUGUUGUUAAUAAAAUAUUUUCUUUUUUUUUUGUAUUUAUUUAUUUUUCAAUUCAGUUCAUUGGUACAUUUUAGGUUUACAGUACAGUUACAUUCAUCAUUGGGAUCUUGUACCUUCACAUGAUGUAUCUUGGUUCUUAUUUUUUCCCCAUUCCCCUGCCCUCCCUUCA